GAGCUUUCUGCCAAUAUGGGCCAUGCCCUCAAAAUUACAUAAACCUCGGGCGAUGUGGCUCGUCGAAGACAUGUUGUAAACGUCCCAUAAACAGUUAUUUUAGCUGUUUAUUCAUUCAUGGCAAGUGCUUGCUGUGGCAUUGCGUUCCUCCUUUUGUUCCUGAUGGGAGAUGUGGAAGAGCUAGUCCAUGCUGUGUGCGCCCACUAGAAGAUCUGAACACUUGCAUAUUCUCUAAUCAAGGCGUUUGCGCCACAUGGCGGUGUCCUUAUCCUUUAAUCGCCCAGGGAAUAUGUGAUGCGGGAUAUCCGUGCUGUGUCAGCCCCAAGGAAUCCUAGGGUUCAUGCCCACUUCGUCCAUGGCUUGAAGUGAAUAUGAAGCAUUUCACUUUAACCUCAGAGGCACUUCAGCAAUAAAA